CGUAGGAAUCUACCUUUCAGUGGGGGAUAACCCGGGGAAACCCGGGCUAAUACCGCAUACGCCCUACGGGGAAAGCGGGGGACCUUCGGGCCUCGUGCUGAAAGAUGAGCCUGCGUCCUAUCAGGUAGUUGGUGAGGUAAUGGCUCACCAAGCCGACGACGGGUAGCUGGUCUGAGAGGACGACCAGCCACACUGGGACUGAGACACGGCCCAGACUCCUACGGGAGGCAGCAGUGGGGAAUAUUGGACAAUGGGGGCAACCCUGAUCCAGCAAUGCCGCGUGUGUGAAGAAGGCCUUCGGGUUGUAAAGCACUUUUAGCAGGAAAGAAUGGUCGCGUGCUAAUACCGCGCGAUUGUGACGUUACUUGCAA
rnacentral:rRNA from 1 species